rnacentral:lncRNA from 1 species
AAUCUGUGUGGCUCUCUUGGCCGCCUGCCAGAGUGCUGCCUUGCCUCCUCCUCCUCCUCCUCCCCGCUUCCCCCCCCUUCCCCCCCCCCCCUCUUUCGCGUGAAGUAGGAUCCUUGAGCUGUUGCAGAGGCAGCCAACUGCUCCAUAUUUGGCUUCUAUUACACAUUUACAUACUGGAGAGCGGAGCGGCAGCGAGCGCUGUACCGCAGACAUCAUUUCUACUACAGCGCCGGAGCAGCCCGGAGCGUGUCCCCGCGGGGGAAGGAGCCCGCACGCACACACACACACACUCACACACCCGAAGACCCCCGCCCCGGGAGGACGGCGGUGCGCGAGUCUCAGUCCGACCCCCCCGCCAGCCCCACCUCCACUGACACUUUACAUCACGCCGCAGGCCGAGCCAGACGGGCGAGCAAUACAAGCUGUGAAUUUAUUGUUGACACCUGCAGGACAGUGACCACCUUCGCCGUCGUCUUCGCCAUACAGAGAUGCGCUGUCAGUGAGAUCCUGGAGCCCAGGAAAGAGUUUUAAUGCAAAGCAUCAGAAAAAAAAAACCGCUGCAGCAUCUCAUGUGAGAGAGGGGAGAGAAGAAAGGAGACUCGCGCAGUAACAUCUCAAAACACUCAAAUGGUUUGAGGUGAGUGAAUGGAGGGUCUUCUCAUAAGUUACAGUUAGUUUGUGAUUAACUUAAGCCUUUCUGCCUCUGACUGUCGUGAUAUCCGCAUCCAUGGCAAUAAAAAUAGCUGAGAGAGGGAAAGAACAACAGCAAAAAUUUGUAAUGCGCUUAUGUUUUUGAAAAUGGGCCCCGCGAGGUCCAAUCCUGCAAACAGGCAAUCAUUCUAACAUUUGUAAGGGUUGAACCUUGUUUAAAUCAAUGAGGCUAUUCUCCCUGAAAGUUAGGCGUGCGCCUGAGUAUUUCCACGUUUGGAAUCUGUGUGACAUGGGAACUCUGCAGAAGAAGGCUAUUGAAGAAAAUACAAUGCUCUGCCAGAAAAAUGCAUAUACAGUUCUGUUACUGUUGCUGAUAAUGUCAUGAGUAAUUGGACUUUACAGCAUUCUUAUGUGAUACUUUUGUUUUAAACACAUAGUUCUCAUUUUUAGGUUUAAGCACCUCGUUGGUGCUUACCAGACUUCUUGACAGAGCCUGUUAGUACUCGACCAGCUGUAAUAAAUAUGUCUCCCUUAAUUGCUUCAUCAGUGUGUCUUUGAACAAGUAGAGUUAAAAGUAUGAAGAAAAUAAUGUCCCCUUUCAUAACUGGAGUUGCAAUUUGCACUUGGAUGUUCGACUAGCAGCAGAACUAGGAGUUCCCUGACUGAAGCUGAAUUGCGUUGUCUUGAGCUAUUAAAUACUUUUAAUGAAGACAAUUAAUUGUGAACUGCGAUGAAGAGCCCACCUUUUCCCUCUAGUCCCUCUCUUUUUGUUUUCAUUUCUCUCAUUGGAAAAGAAUGACCUCUGAGUCUUUUUAUUUUGUCUAGUACAGAGGAAAUGUUACAGUUGUAAAACUAGGCCCUGAAAUGCUGCCUAAAUGAAAACUGAGAAAGCUGCCUCUACCUUAAAAAAAAAUAAAGAUAAAAAAUUAUGUGUUCCUUUCUGACCCACAAGUGUGCUGAAGGAGACAAAAUUACUGUAAGAAACCUGCAGAAUGAAAAGAACCAACAUAACAUGGUAGGAGCAGGGCAUAUAACCUCACAACCGUACAGAAUAUCAAAACCCUUUGCCUGGUGGCAUUUGCAGACAUUUGUUGCUUACCAGGUUUCAGAAGAAAGGAGAGCAUAGCUGGCCCCUGGUGAUUGCUCUGUAUUUGCUUUGUAGGAAUAGAGCUAUUAAGUUUCUUUUGAAAUCAACAGACUCGCUGCAGGGAGCUAAAUAUUUCCUUUCUGGUCGGUGGACUAGAGCCAUUCCUUGGGAAAUUGCACCAGUCCUGUAGGCAGUUGUACAGACUUAUCCAGAAAGUUAGAAACUUGCAAAUCAGUGUGGACAAGUUCUUUUUACGUCCAGUUCUUGCAUUAGGGACUGUGAACCCAAAAGGGGGUACAAGACUCUUCCAGUAGGAGUCUGAGGUGAUUUUUGUAGUUGUGAAGUGAGGCAUUAAUGCAAAUUCGUUUAAGACCGCUGCCACGUGACAUAUAGGAGCUCUGGUUCUUACAACUGCCCCUUCCUUUUGCCCUCUCUUCCCCCAUCCCCACAGCUCAGGCAGUAAAAGACUUUGCUCUAUAGGGCUCACCCUACUUCAGGCGUAGGACAGCAACUGUGGCCAGACCAGGCUGGUGAGAAAGGGAGAGAACCACAGUGAGCCCUGUGUGAUAUCUCUGAGCCCACCUUGUUUCCUCCCAGCCCCCAUUUUCUAUUGGCAAGCAUUCCUUCUGAGCUCUGCGGAGUGCGACUCACAAUGCUUUUAUUCCUAUCUUUUUUUCACUGACAUCAGACAAGGAUAACAUGCAUGAUUUUCCUUUCACGGCAGCCUUUUCGCUGUUGGUCUCUGAGGAAGCUCACGUUGAAGUUCAGGGGAAGGUAUCUUUGUAGCAUCUGCGUGACCUUUAUAAUCAUUCGAUCAGCUCUCGGUUGCAGUCACAAAAUUGUUGAGUCUUGUUUAGAUUUCAUUGCAUUCGGGAGUGGAGGAGCUCUCUGGCAGUAUCAGAGAAAGGGAGGUUCUUCGGUGGUGAGAGAUGCGUCUUAAGAUAUGGCACUGUUUUUUUCCAGCACAUGAAGUAGCAGUGCCUCCAUCCGCAUGUCCCGUGGUGUGAGGCGGGGAGCUGUGUGGGUGCUGAGCAGGCGGUGGGACCGACUUCCUUCAGCCUUUUCUUUUUUCACUGGGAGUGAAAAUGGGGGACUGAGCCUGCCCGGAUUAAACACACGCCUGUUUUGUUUUGCCUUUCUCUGCUCUUCUUUCAGCUGUCAGCGUGCCAUGUUCAGAUGGCAGUGAUCAGUUUCAAACUGUCCCCCAUCCAUGCUCCUCAGCUCUCCUAAGCCAUUAGUUUAGUGGAGCUCUUCAACAAAGAUGGCACCGGUUCGAUUUUUUUUUUUUUCCCCCAGCUAAUGGAAAAAAGAGGUUGCUUGUUUGUUUGUUUGUGUUUUUCCCCUCAAGUCAGCUGCAUUCGUUCCCAAAGCAACUUGUGUUAAAUGGAAAUGAGGCUUUGAUAAUAUGUGUGCUUGCUGGAGACUUGCUUAGAUUUUUUUUCCCUGUAUAUGGAUCUUUUCAAUGGGGCGCCUCUAUUGUGCAGCAGAAAGAAAGUGCACGGGCUGCCAGGCACAUAAUGGAAUUGUUCAUUUGUUUAUGUAAGUGUGUGUAAGCCUUUGUGAAGAGGAGGUGGUGGGGACAGAGAAUGGAGACCUUCACCGCGGGGAGCUGAGUGUGUCGUGGCACAGCCGGGGCCCCCUUUCAGCAGGGCACGGCCACGUCUGUGCUGCUGCCCGUGCCUGUGUUGUGUUCAGUGCUGGUGAGCAUCACCUGGGAUUGUUGCUCCUGAGCCUGACCCACUGAAAUGGGUGAAGCCGAUGCAGCCACUGACUACUCUGGCUGUAAACCACGUCAGGCAAAAUUCACAAAAACUGUUAUAUUUCCAUGUGCGUUGGCUUUCGAAAGGGUGACGUAAACAUGAACCGUGCCAAUACUGUGCUUCCUCACCGUGAGGCUAUUUAUUGUAAAGGAUGUAUGGUUUUAGUCAUUUUAGUGUGGAGUAGAUAAGAGCUUGAACUCAAGCCUUGGAUCCAAGCCCACCAGCAGCUUUGCAAAGGGCAGGAUCCAGAUCUAAAGUUCAGGCAGCUCCUAGCAGAGACUGAUUUUAACUUACUUCGUAAAACGGGAGUAACCAGAAGUUUUAAACUGAGACUUCUGAACAAGAACUUGGCUUUUUUUCUCACCCACCACUCUUCUCUGCAUGUGAAAGCAUGAAGGCUGUGUUUUCCACACACCAGCUCAGGCUGUGGAUCGGGGCCUCUGUGGUGAUUGGUGAUCAGUGUUACACAGCCGCGUCCUUUUUGCCCAGAAGUGUUUUCUUCUCGAGGAGUUAGACCUUCCUUUUGGAAGAAGGUCUUUGGAAGCACAGUAGAGGCUUCAGAGGUAGGACCUUGGAGAUUCCCAGAAACUAAGAAAGAGUUAAUUGGUCAGUCUGCUGUGGAGCAAAACAGGCCUCAGUGGCUGGGCUCCCCAGCCCCCAGUAGUCCUCACUUGUGAUACCACAGCGUAGUUAUGGACGUGAAAAAACACCUGCACUAUAAAAAAAGCAAUUCACAGAGCCUACACUUUUCUUCGUUUUCUAGAUACAGGACUCUGUUCUUAUCCUUCCCCUUCUUCGUUGCCCUUGGACACAUUUUUAGGACUUCUCAGUCUCUAGCCGCAGUUACUGGGGAGAUGUUUGGCUAGAUGUUAUUUUACACAUCUGCUACGUACGUCAGAGAGUCACAUCCUGCACCCAGAGACUUUAUGUGGAUUAGCAGCCCUCCCUGUGGGACUUUGAAUCCAUAAACCAAUGAAUGGCUUAUGAGGAUACAAAAAUGUAGUCUUGCAACCAACUGCAUAUAUUCCUGCUACAGUCAUGUCCAUGUUUGACAGGGAAAAAUGGCUGUGUGAAAGACAAGAAGCACGGGUGAACUGGACAGCAUUGUGGUGUGGCAGUUAAUGUGCUCCAUCCUAAAGGCGUCAUCUUCCUGGUCGGCAGUAAGAAAAUAGUUCUUGUGAUGAUGAUUUGAGUAUCUCUAAAAGAGGCUGGCAAACAGCUGCUGUUGCAUGUCUCAAACUUAGCUUUAGCAUUGCGGGACUGUGAGGAGGUUCUGAAUACCUGUAGUGCUGUUUGUAGCUGAAGCAAAGCUGAGGCUCUGCAGCUUUGUCCGGGGACUCUGUAACUGUUUGCAGUCUAUAGAGGAAACACAAGUUAGAAGUAAGUAUCUUUCAAUUGAACUGUGUUUCCUUCUCUGUUAAGCUCACUGCUCAGACUUCUAUUUCUGGUCUCUAGUUCUGCAAAUACGUAAAACCUGGACAAAGUGUCUGGCUCCUUAGCUGAGUUUUUUUCUUGACCCGUGUAGAAACGAAACUUUAUAGAGCUACUUCUUAUGAAGGAUGAACUAGGACUGCUAAUUCGUAUGCUUUACAUGCCUGUCAGCAGAGGGGCUGAGCUGUGACUUGAUUGUAGCUGAUGGGACUGUGCCUUGUGCUGACAGCCCAUGGGUGGAGGGUGGGGAAGAGCACUGAGUAAACUUGUGUGCAUGUUGUCUUCUGCUUGGGUAACGUACAGUGGAGCGGCUGCUCACCGUCUUGGGAGGCAAAUCGUAGUGGUUGUAACAGCACUGCUGUGUGUUGUCUGAUGCUUGGGAGCCUCUUGCUAGCCUCUUGUUAAAAACCAUUGGUAGAGGGUUGGAGACAGCCAGGUAAGACAGCAGUUAACACUGAAGAGCUGGAACGGGAAGUUUUGCGAGACUGCUAGAACUGUUUUCUCCUGCCACAGGACUUGGCAGCUGGAGCCCAUGUGGGAGCCCAUUGCUGCUGACCAGGAGCUCCUCGUGCUCUGGUGCAGGGCAGCUGUGGACAUGAGGAGACGUGCCACCCCACAGGCCGGGAGUCCUUCAGCAGCCAGCCGCCCUCUCCUCUGUUGCCUCUGCUACGUGUCCACAGCGUGGUUGCAGCAACAGACAGGGUGCUGCAGCUGCUUUGUUUGAAAUGAUAAUAUUUUCUGCUCUUACUGUGGAACGCUGCAGUAUUUUUUGUAAUUAUGGGCCGCGUGCCAGUAACGUACAAUAACAUUUUGCUCUUCCUGUCCUGUUGCUACUGUAGGCAUUCAUUCCAACUUGGGCCAUGUUUGCAGUACAUGGUAUUUUUUUUUCUGGACUCCGCUUAUUAUCUAUUGUGGAUAUUUUUGGAUUAUUCAUUGCUACGCACGUCUGUCCAUACAAAUCUAUCUCAGAAAGCACUUCAGAGAGUGACAGUCUCCAGCGAACAAGCAAUUGUUGUGGCUUUCACAGGAUUACGUUCUUGUGAAAGUAUGAGGCAAGAAUGAGAUGAAAACGAAGAUGAAAAUUGCUUUGUAAGUUUAAAAAUUGUUAUGGCUUUGAAAAUAUUUGAGGCAGAGACGAGGCCGGCCUUCCUUUGCGCGGUCGGUGCUAAGGACCUGGUGUGCACCAGAGCUGUAGGUGGCUGAAGCCUGUGGGCCGGCAGAAUCUGGGAGACAUUUACCAUUGUCGGAGCCUGUAAUGAUUCUCCGCAGCUUUGGUUUUAAGGAUUUUUUUCAUUUCCAGAGGAAAGUAGUCGUAACUUGGAAGACAGCUAGUGGCAUUCGUGCCAGCGAUUGUUUAUUAACGUUGUCAUGGUCUGGAGAUGAAAUUUUUGUGAAAGGGAAAUUAAAGUCCUAGACAUCAGAGUUCACAGCUAGCCAGCCUGCACGCAGCUUGUUUCUGGAAGGUAGAGGUCGAGUCCAAAAAGAGGAGAAGGAGGCUAAACACGAAGGAGACAAUUAAUUUGUUUCCGGUUAAUUUGGAACGAAAUAGUAUGCUUUAUACAAAAAGAACUGCGCUUUUCGUGUGUAGUUUUUGUGUCCUCGUACUGUGCUGACUCACCAAACUACUUCGGUUUCAGAGUCUGCAGUCUGCAUUUGGUUUAAAUUACCUUAGAGGCCUGCAUUUGCAUGCUGUUCUGUAAAGUGCUUCUCGCCUGCAGUCCAGAUUUCUUUUCUUUUUUCUUUUUUCCUUUUUCCUGUUCAGCAUUUCAUCUGACGUGCCUUUUUUCAUUUUCCAGGUCUCCGUUUUACUAACAUUUGCAACCAAUCACUGUGUGCCUGCUUGGGCCCCGUGAUAGGCAAAAAACAUGUUGCAGUAACAGAUAGAACGAGGAGUGAAUCACUUCUUUUUGCCUUUCAAUUAGAUUACCUAAAUCACUAUGCAGAAGUAUUCCUUUUUGUACGAUAGAGCAGCGUGAUUAGCUCACUGCCUUGACAAAGCGGUGGUGGAAGUGGAUGUAAUUCUUCUCCUAUUACAUCUUUAAUGAGCUACAAUUAAAAAUAGUGUGCUGGCAUGCCGGAGUAGAUGUGUUAUUCUCAGAACUUUAUUGAAGCCAUUUCUGCUGUUAUAUUUGGUUGGCACCGCGUUGUUCUAAAACCGUAAGAAUUAGAUAGCGGAAAAAUCUGCUUUUGCUAGGUGAAGGCUACUUGGGGUAAAAUAUAUCAACUAAAUAGGUACAGAGUCUGUGCUGAGUCCUUGGGGGCAAAGCUUUUGCUACGUGGUAAAAGAAAGUGAAAAAUAGAAUCACACAAUGCAGCAGGUUUCUGCAGAGCUCCAGUUGGGUCCCAGGUCUCUCGACACCUGUGGCAGCGAGUCUGAGUCACAGAGAGCACAAAACUGCGAAUCCUAAUACUCUCAGUACUCAAAAGCAUACCUACGUAGGAGUUUAAUUUCAUGCGCUUCUUUUAGCUCUGUGUUUUUUUUUUUCCCUCCCUCCAAACUAACAAAAUUUAAGAGUCAUUCUUAGAAUUUUGCAGAGAAAAUUUUCUCAGCGCUUGUGGCUCCGUGAAGGAUUGACAUCACUUAGAGCUUAAAAAAUAGCACUGUCAAUUUUAGCUUGACGGCAUUCCAUUCUCUGCUCCAAAAACCUGAUGAAUAACAAUGGAUGAGUCAAAGAUUUCUUGGAAUUUUUUUUCCCCCUUGUGCAAUUCCAUUGCCAUUUUUAGCACGGAGGGCAGUUCUCCAAAGAAUGUCUAUGUGCUUGAACUGUGAUUUCUUCAAAAUUCAGAACAAAAUCAAGUUGAGCGUCAGACGACAAGAAAACGUUUCUGUGUAUUUUGCUGACAUAGUGUGAGCUUUAUUGAGGAAUCCACAUGAAAAGGCAGGAGGUGUUUUACUGAUAGUUGUUUCAUCUCUGCUUCAGCAGUGUGAGUCUUGCCCUGUCACGCUGCUUCGUUGUGUUGUAAUGAGAUUCUGCUUAAUUAUUUACUGUAUCUUGUCAUAUCUUGUCAGCAGUGGUCAGGGCAGUGUCCUGAUAAAAACUAUCAGUGGAUUUGGGAGACUUCGGUUCAAUUUCUUUCUGUGUUGCAUGUUCCCUGUAUGAUCUCAGGUUGCUUGAAUUGUUGCUUCAAGGUCUCUUAAAGUGUGGGCUGCUCAGUUUUGCUGUGGCAAGCUGGUUUUCAAAUAGGUGAGUCCCCAUUACUCGCUUAGUUUAUCAGGAGUGGUCUUUCUGCCAGGAGGGAGAAGUCAGGAAGACUUGGAAGAAGAGGUAGACAAGAUGUUACUGUGCUUCUUGGUCCUUGCUUGGAUCAACUUAAGGCUGUUGUUGAACCACAGCAUCCUUCUGUCUUUGCCUUGGUUUGCCACAUGAUGAAUGAAGAUUGUAUCACUUUGGUAUUUUAGUAGGACGUUGAGAGUAGAAAUACAACAGAGAAUUGUGCAAAUACUACUGUUGUGUUAGUGAUGUAGUGUGUUUAAGGUAAGCAGAUCUUGGCAAAGUCGUUUGGAUUACUAUGAAUGAGAUCACCAACUCUGCCUAUUUGUUUUACAAAUGGCAGAAGUAGCCUCUAUCAGGCUUAAUCUUGCAUGUCAGAAUGAAUGGCCAAAGUAUAAAGACUCAUGAAGAAUUAAGCUGCUGAAAAGAAACCCAAGAGGAAGAUGGGUUAAAACGAUGGCAAGGCAGGAUCUGUAAUGUUUUUCUUCUACAAUAGAUAGCUUGUAUUUUACUAAAAAUUGGCCAAAAAGAGAAGGAAAAGUGCAGGGGUCCCCUUAACAGCUACCGUGUCGAAUUUGAAGAAUGAUUUGAAUUCAGUCAUUAAAGUGUGAAAUGGAGGGAUUUUAGUUCUGCUUGAAAUUGUGCAUCUCAAAUUAACCUUAGCUGCAGAAUCUCUGCUGACGCCCCCGUAAUGACACAUUAUUGGUACUAAUGGCUUCUUUGUGACUUGAGAUACAAACAGACAUUCUAGACAGAAACAUUUAGGCUUUGAACUAAAUAAGUCGCAAAGCGUGCAUUUCCACCUUGGUUUUCUAGCGACAAAGCCCAGCUCUCCUGGUGGCUGGUGCUCGUGAGCUGUUCUUUCCAGCUUGCAGACUCUGCUCCUUGUCCUGGCAGUUGUAGGCAGCGGAGUAAAAACCAGCUUUGCAAGCUUGGAAGAACAGGAGAGCCAUAAAUAUGAAGUGAGCGUGAAGCCCGGCCAGAAGUCGGGUGUUGCAGAGAAGCAGGACAAAGCCUGGAAUGCGGGCAUGGGACAGGAGGGGGAACUUGUAGCAGAUGAGUAUCUUCAGAGGAAAAAGGACCCAAAAUUGUGAGGGAAAUGGUCGAGAGAAGCCAGGAUUUACGGAGGAAAUUGCUAAAUAAGGGAGGGAUGAGAUUAAUAAAGAAUAUAACCCGCAGUGGCUGGUUAACCCCUUAUUGCCCUGUUGAUAUGCGAAGAGGUGAUCGUAUUUUUGGAGCUCUGCACUUCAGUCUCUCCUCUGAGGCUCGUUGGCAUAAUUUAGAAAACUCUGCCAAUGCCUGGAAUUUCACCCACAGGUGUUACCUAGACCCUGCCUUCGCAUCCAAAGGAUAAUCAUUAGUCGGUUGUUUUAUCUUCAUUUUCUCAAUGGGAUACCACGAUGUGAGAUAACUGUUGCCUUUCCUUUCAAGCUGCAGCUUUGGGAAUUUGCCUAAUUGCUGCGGCAGGGGCUGUGGAGAGGACCUCCUGCCCUUGGUUGUGUCCGUGGGAUCUGUUACAGGAGUGCCUGCCAUGGCUGCGUGACGCUGUGUGACUUGCCAUGGGGUCUGCGGUAUUCUGGAUCCAAGGCGGGAUUGCAUUUAAGUAUUAAGUAUGUAGAAUCAAAUACGGAUAAGUAUUCAGAUGUCUCUUUUGUAUUUCUCAAAGGAGGCAUGUUCCCAAGACUUUAAAAAAAAAAAAAAAAGGUAGGUAUGCUAUACAUCAUCAUAUUUACUAAUGCAUCAGGGGUAUUUGCAUGAAUAAUUAAGACACCAGUUAGGAUUGCCUCAGUAAUAAAAGGGAAUAUAUUCUGUAAUUUUUCUUGUCCUUUUCUUUUUGUUGACUGAUGGAUUGAUGGAUACCUUUUGUUGAUUGAUUAUCGAUUUCAUUCAUUUAUUUAGAACGUGCCCUAAAUAUUAAUGCAAAUCAGCAAGGUUCUGCUUUGCAUUAAAAACCUGUUGAAAGUGCUAAUAGAAUAACGUCAUAAUUCAGUAAUGAAGGUCUGAAAAACUGAGGCCCAGAACACUUAUCUAGUAUUUUGUAUUAAGUAGAUUUGCAAAAUACUUUGUUUGUCCUAAUUGCUAAUUCAAGUAAUAUUAAUUUGCUUUUUGUUACGAAUAGCCUAAUAGCACGUUGGAAAAACAAAAAAUAGAGGCAAUAAUCUACCUCAGAUUUUCCAUUCUAUUUGUAGUUUACCUUAAAUUAGUUGGAGACAGCAGGAAUAUGGUAGGCAAGUUAGAGGUAGAUACCACUUCUAAAACUGUGUGUGAAAAAACCCUAAAACUUCUGAAACUAAGAACUGAAAAGCACAAACAGAUGCAGUCCAAGUGACCUAAAGUUGGAAUUGUAGUAAAUUUCAGACGUGCACAUACACAAAAUCUUCUUCGUAUUUCUUAGCUCAAAUUUCUUCUGAUUUUUUUCUUCAAUUUUCCUUACUGUUUACAUUUAACUAAUUAACCUCUUUUCUCAUUUCUUUUCCCACCUUCACAAAUGCAUCAUUUAUGAAUAUGCUAUAAUGUAAAGAUGAACACUUGAAAAUGGGAUCAUAUUGUGGUGAUACUUUUUAGGGCCAUAGUUUUGUUUUCCAGCUAUGAGGAACAAUUUGUGAUGACACUUGAAUUAGUAUCGUACACUUCAGUGCUAUUCUUCUAGCCAUGCUUGAAAUGCUUAUUUUCUGCAUCGAGCUUAGUUUUAGAUGCAAUACUCUGAUGACUAGUAAUAAAUUAAUACAUAGGGUUGUGUUAUCUUCCUGGUGUUUAUGACACGUCACAUCUGAUGGUAUAUGCUAACCUCCUUCUCCAUCUCUGCUUUGCUUUGCAAUCUAACUUCGUCCUUUAACACUUUAUUAGCAUCACAAUAAUUGUAAUUGAUGAAGACAGGGAACAUAAAAUACAGUGGGUGCCUGAUGAUGCGUUUACUUUUUGUCCUUUAUUGUUUGGCUUGUAUAUGGUUUGGUUUCGGUGGUUUGUUAAUUUUAUUUAUUUAUUUAUUCUGUUUUUUUAAGCUGGGUGUUAUUUCAUCCCCAUUGAACAAUGGGAAUGGAGCAGUGCUGUCAACCAAGGCCUCAACGUAUUCGCAUAAUAACAAUAAAAGCUUCUUACGUAACUUUCGUCUAAUACUCUGCAAAUUGGAGCUCAUCCUUUCCAGUGUCGAGCAACUUUACCCACGCGUGUGCUGAUCCCAAACAGUGUUUUGUUUGCAGCAGAAGUCAGCCCCGUACACUGCUGGUGCUGCUGGAAGCCUCAGUAAUGAGGCAGAAUUGUGCCUUUGGAGGCUCCUUCCUCAGCCUGUCAGAUGCAGGUGCUGCUGAAACUUUGCUGUUAAGAAAGAGUUAGUUUGGCUGUGGACGUUGCCUCUCGCCAGUCUUAGUUUUAGCUCUGGUUCUAGGGAACAGUCACCUCUCUGGGCUUACUUCACAGUGCCCUGCUCUGGUGCCAUCGUGCAAGGUGAGCUAUAGCAAUUGUCUGCUUCACGCAGGGAUAUAAAAUAGUUGUCUCAAUACGAAAAGUGCUCUGUGAAAUUGUUCCACUUACUGUUGCUACGUGUAGCACCUACAAUGACUAUAAAUGAAGGGUAAUAAAGGGAAAAGAUCAUAUUAUUUCAGUUAGCUUACUUUGUGCGUGCUUGACGGCACUGUGUAUAGUAAGUUACAUAAUUUCCUGGGAUAGUCAGAUUUCUCCUUAUUUGUGUGGCUCUUUCUCUCGGCAAUAAGGGAAAGAAAAUACAUUAAGGAUCAGAAAAUGUGUCUGUAAAGCCAGGAAAAAUUGUCAGCAACAUCAAGAAGAGUUCUAAGUAUUUGGAACUGCUCUUGACUGAUCCUCCAAAAGCAACUCAAUUCCGGAAUAAUAGUGCCCUUCUGGGCUUCAUUUUAAGACAGUGCGAUCGUACUUAGGCAGGAUUUGCAAGGAUCAAUAACCAGCCCAAUGCGUUCUUCCUUUUCAUGACAGGUUCACUGAUGGCCAUCAGAGCAGGAGUACUGCAUCGGUCAGCAUAAAUGCAAGAAGCAGCAAUUAGCGUGUGUGAAGUUUGUCUCCAUCAUAGCAUGCAUUGUAGCACGCAGGACUUUCACUACAUGAAUGCGAGGAGCCAUGCUGUGCUGAGGCUGAAUGUGGGGUUUCUGUUCCUGGAGGGAAGGCCCGGUGGUGUCAGUGACCAGUGUGUACUGUUGUUUUUAUCAUCUGCCUUCCUCGGUUAACUUGGCUCUGUGACUUUUUAACCUGCUGUCCGUAAGCUGUUGUUUUACAAGCUCAUUAAGGUGGCUGGGAUGGUGAAAGCAGCCAUCCUGCCCCCACCUCCGCCCCUACCCCCCUUGGGUGCUCGUUAGAUCGUUUCCUUGUGCUGACAUAAGCGUUCUGUAGUCAUACUCUGAGCCAGGCCUGGGAAAUGAUCCAAGUUAAAAAUAAUCCCUCAAAAAAAAAUGGAAAAUAAGAUUUCAGCAGGACCUGUUACUGGACACAGCACACCGGCGUGCGGUGUCAGCUUGAGAAAACAGGUCUAUCCUCAGCGUGCUGCCUGUCUUCCUCGAUUUCAUCGGCCUGACUGUCUUGUUGGUAUUUUCUGAAGCUGUGAUUCAUUUUCAGACAAGUUUACCCCAAAAAUGGCAUUUUCAGAGGUGCGGAGGUCCCUUGAGCUUAGUGAUGGAGUAGACCCCAGCUGACUCUGCUCAGCAGAGGCCCAGGGGAUGUCCUCUUCAGGCUUCCUCUUGAGGACCGGUCUCGAUGUCCCAUACCCCCAGAUGGGGGAAUCAACUGUUGUACUGCUGGCACGAGAAGAGGGCAGUGCUCCAUGGGGAAUACUGUUCAUUUCUGGAGGUGGGGGCACCUCCCAGGCUCUGGCUGUCCCGGGAGGACAGGGCGAUGCAAUUGCGAGUUAGAGAUUUUGAGUUUUCUUCUUGUUACUUAAUGCCCUCUGGGGAAUCAAGGGAAGCCAGGUACAUUUGGAGAUGAGACUCCCUAUUUGUUUGGGUGGCCUAGCUGUGAAACUCUGCAGCCAAGGAGGUCUUUGUAGCCCCAGGUUGGCAUGGCCUCCCUCAGAUGUCAGGUGGCACCUUUGUGCCCACAUGGCUGCUGCCUCCUGCCCUGUGCAGCCACGUUCCUCUUGUGCUGCCUAGGAUCACCUGUGUGGCCCUCCUCAUGGCACGGGGAGCCUGCUGUGCUCUUCUCUGCGGAGGAACGAGUAAGAAGACACACGUUGUGGUUUCCUGCUGUUCUGCUUUGUCACCAGCCCACCGGUAAAUAUAGCUUGCGUGUGGUUAUAAAUUCAUUUCUCUCGUUAUGGGCGGUUGUUGUGCAAUAAUUGUGUAGAAAUUACAACUGAGGGUAGUUGUGGAUGGUUCUUGUUAUUUUUGCGUUUGUUUUAUUUGUUUGUUUGUUUGUGUAUUUAGUGCCCUUUGGUGGUUGAGUAGGCACUGGUGUCUCUCUAACUAAGAGUAGAGCCACAAGUAGAUGUCCAUUGGGAUCCUGUGCGGGCAGAGGCACCAGCUCACAGGCUGCUGGCUUCACAUGGCUCCCCUUGCAAGGCUGCUAGGAGCUGCAAGGCAAAGCAGGCCUGCCUUACGCAGACACUUUCUUCUUCCUUCUACAAUGCAAGCAUAUGUUCCUUGCCACCCUUGCAAGUUCUAUAUGGGGUCCCUUGCUCAGACUGUUUGGGUAUGGAAUGAAAGUAGGGGUGGGUUGUUUUUUUUCUCUUCUCCUUUCCCUUUAUUUAAAAUUCCAGUAAAAUAGAUGCAGAGCAACACUGUUUGUUGCUGCUGUGUUCUCAUUUUCCUCCCAUCCCUCCUUUAAUUUUAAAUUUUCCCCUGCACUGUGUUUGCAGGCCAUAUGUGUCCUUUGAACUAUGAGGAAGCUGUGCCAAAAGGAAGCCUUCCUCUCCUCCCCUCCUCCCAUCACAGAGCUGCUCUUAGAUAAUAGCAGUUAAUAUACAAUGUGGAGCAAACCCAGGUGUGAAGUUGGAGUGUUGUGCAAAUUUCACAAGAACUUUAGGAAAGCUUGCACUUGGUCCUUGCUUUUUAAACCUGCUGAAAUCCUUGAAGCACCAGGCAGCUGCUGCUGCUCGGAGAGGUGUUUACAACGUGAACUGGCCUACCGCGCCCUUUGCAAGGCGCAGGGACGGCUGGAUCGGCUGGCAGGAAGCCACAGCUCCAUCUGACCACUGAAUGCAGGAAGGUGGAGCUGCCUUUCAUUGUGUCACGGCGCUGGGCAGAGGUCUGACAGGAGAACAAGCAGCUUUACUAGCACACUGCAGUGCCAGAGCCCUUCAGUUAUGUUCACUGCAUGCUGCAGGCUGACGAGAGUGGGAAAGGUAACCUUGUGGUGCUAAACAAAAGGCAGGGCAGUACCUGGCUUCAUUGGCAAGUUGAGAGAAGAGGGGAGCCUUGCUGGGCCAGCAUGCAGCUGGAUAUUGGCAGUGCCAGUAGGAGAGAACGGCCCGUAAAUGGGAUUCACUGCUGUGAUGGUCUUGAGUUUUCAAAGGGAACGUACUCCUUGGAGCAGCGUGUCAGGAAGCAGAUGCCUUUUGGGUCCUGCAGAUAAGUGUCCUGUCCAUUAAAACAGGUUUCUAACCUCAAUUCCCAAUGGAGUUUUAAAUGGGGAGAAAUAGGAGUAUUAAUUAGUGCCUCAUUAAAUAUGAUAGUCAAGUAUGAUAAUUUUUCUUGGAAGGAUAAUGUAUUAAAUGAGUAAAAAUACUCUCCAUUAAAAAAUGAAUACAAAGUCAUUUUAAACCACAAAGAUUAUUGUACAUCUCUGAAAAAUUAAUGUGAUUAAAGCAAAAUAUAUUUAAUAAAUUAAAAAGACCCUCUUAGGCUGUUUAACUUGUUGGUCUCUAAUUAAUUAUUCUCAAAUAUAGCGCUUCAGGAUGCAGGGACAGGAAAUGAUUUCUCCCCCCAGUCCAUUUUUCAGUUUGCAAUUAUCCAUUCGAGGUUCGGGUUGUGGGGUUUUUUUUUUGUUCUUUUAAAUCUUUUCUGUUGUCGUAUCUCAAAGAUGAGACACGAGACAAGGAAGAGCAGUGAUCACAAAUAAUACAGUGAUUUCUUUGAUGGUUUUGCUUGAUGUGACUGACUUUUGUGCCAAUAUCAAGAUCUGGACCUGAGAAGGAAUAUUUUCAAAGGCUAUUUUUCUCUUUUCCCUUUUGCCUGGGACAUGAUGUAGGACGCAUCUGCUAGGAUCACACAGCUUCUUUUAGUGACUUCAUAAGUUAAAUAAUUUUUUUCCACUGUUUGCCUCUGAGAUUAGAUUUGAAUUAGAUACUUCCUUAACUCUCACCUAAACUCAUUCACAUUCAGCUGCUCAAUUAGAAUUAUUCUGUUUGUUGUGGCAAGCAGUAAAGAAAAAAUGAUAGGAGCUAGAGGGAGUGCCCAUGCAGUUCAUGUAUGUAUUUUGGGAGGACAUAAGCAGUAGAAAAUAAGGGCAAAAGCUUGAUGUGAAAUAGAGCAGGUAGUGGCUUUACAGCAGCCUAGUUAAAAAACUUCUGCUUGUCAUUAGUAAUGAAGGUACUUCCUCAACAGUCCCAACAGAAACAGUGCGUGGUAAUGCUGUCUUAUUGACUGCAGGUGUAUGAUGCUUGAGUUCCUCCAAACAUUUCUUCCUUGCAGGUGGUCGUCAGUACAGAUUUGGAGAGCCCUAGCCAUUGGUUCUCAAGGUUUACCAUUUGAUUAUCGUGUAAAUACCAAAGAUACCCACAUAAGCUUUUGAAAAAUCUGUUGAAAAUUGUCCAACAGGCUGAAGAAUCUUUCCAGGGAGUCCGGGUACUAUGCUGUGCUGUCUCAAGGUGCCUUCUAAUCUCUCUGGCUCUUUGAUCCUGAUGACUGCCACCUUUGUAUUGGUGUUUAAGAGGAGAGUCUUCCCACCUUUCAGCUUUACUCUUCUGUCCUGUGUGGCUUGGCCAAGCAUAGACAACUGAGGUGGCAGCUGUUGCCUUCUAGUCACAGGAACCUUGAUUUACGUUGUAUCUCCAAGUGCUAUCUCAACAGAGCUGUUACAGGAACAUCAGCUACCUUACUGGGGCAGCUGUGUGUGAGAAGAUUUCCCUCAUCUAUGGGACACAUGCAGAGCCUGCAAUGGCUGGGCAGCUGUGUAUUGAAGCUUUUGAGGCAUUUUUCCUUUUGUUUGAGAAGGUGGUGGUAGGCAGGAGUUUUUGGUGCUAUGUGAAAAUAGCUACCCUAGAUACCUCCAGAGUUCAAGGAACCUGUCGUCGGUGUCGAGCUGUGCUCUCAUACAUUUAUGUGAGCUCUGUUGUUAUUACACAAAGUACUUCCCAAGACGAAUGAUCUGUGCUGCUGUAAUGUUCCAAUGCAUGAUUAAUAGUCUUUUCUGGUCUUAAAUGAGACCAAAUGUAUCCGUUGACUUACCUUGAAAAUCCUCUUAGUGCCAAUGAUCUCAUUUUCAAAACCACCUCUAAGGUUACAACUCUAAUGCAAGCACCUACACCACAGCUGCUGUAAUGACACCCCCAGAGGUAGCCAUGUACGUGUGCAUGAGCAAAAAGGAAUUUGCACAUCUCUCAGUAUGCCAGUGAGCUUCCCUUACUGGUUGUGCCUGCUUCGCCAAUGCUAGCAGAUAACGCAAUCAGGUGCGUGUAUAUAUACAUAUACAUGGUUGGUUUUUUUUCUGAAAGUGGGACAUUGCAGCUCUAAAUUCAUAAAAUUGCAAGGGCAUAACAAAGAGUAGGUCUGUCCAGCAGCACUGUUAACUUUUUCUUAUUAUACCCCUGGAAUUCUGUCUGACAUGGUCCCUCACUACAAAUACUUUAUUUGCAAGGAGCUCUGGUUAAGCUAGCAAUUUACUGUGGCAAUGUGUGAGACUAAGCGUACCGGAAAAUAAAGAAUAGUGCAGCAUUUAUGAUGAUAAAAUAAUUUCAGGUCAUGUCUUUUCUUUCUUUGUGUAGCUUUUCUUUUAUUACUGGCACUGAAACAGCUCUUGCAGUGCAAGUGAGAAAACCAGACUGAACCUCCUGUUUUUUUGUUGGGCUCCCAGCUGGAAACCCCUCCCUCGAUUUUCCAUUGAUAAAGUGUCACAAAGGGAAUCCAGAGCAGAGGAAUAGGAGGAAGUAGAACAAUGCGAAGUCUUGGACUUGAAUCACAAAAUGAGUUAACUAAUGUAGAUGCGGCGUUGAACGAGCUGCUGCUUCUUUCAUGAUCAGGUUCAUUUAACUGUGGUCUUAGCGUUUGGGGCUGCCUCUAAGUCAUGUAACAAAUCGACUAUUUAUUGUCUUUUCUUUUACUGCAGAGGCUCUUUAAAAGGAAAUUGCAGAACAUUUUCUUCUCUCCCUUUCUAUAGACUGUUUUAUCUGACCUUCAAGAAUUCAGAGUCACAACGGGGGCCAAGAAACCUCACGUACAAGAAUGCUUUUAUUGUUAAUGUCUAAAAUAUGUCUUUCACUAAUAAAAUAAAGGUGUGACAUUUAUAGAGCUCUAAUAAUGAACACAGCAGUAGGAAGGGCCCCGGCUGCAUACUGUUCAAAUUAAGUUGAUUUCAAUGAGACGAGAAACAGCCUUGUUCGAUUGCAGGUGAGGGCAUUUGCUGAUUUCCAUGAGGCUUGAAAAACUCCCAGGAAUAUUUUGCAGGUAUUGAGAAGUAACUUUUUAGAGCACUUGUUUCAGUUAAGUUGCUACUUAGUACUCUGGUGGCAUUUGGAGGAGGAGGUCUACUUGUGUUUAAUUCCAAUUGCAUGUCAAGUGUAUGCUGUUUCUGUGACUCUCUUGUCCUUGCAUCACUAGAACAGUAGCUGUACUACCACUGCUGUUUGACCACCGUGUUGAGGUGAAAGAGAUGGCUGAUGUUUGCCACAGUGUCUGCAUGAGUCAAAGGCUGGUGUUUGCACUAUCACCUGCCCACUGUGUGAUGCAGGUGUGCUUCUGCACGUGGUGGUGGUGAGGAGGGGGCACUGGUGUCUCUCUCCUACAUCCCUGUGAAGCGCUGUGGUUGUCCUCUUGGGGUGUCUUCCCACAUGAAAGAGUUAAGUGCUGCUCUUCUCUUUUCCUCCUGUUCUCUUUGCUAUCCUUUCUUUUUCUUCCCUUUGCUCUUGAGCUUGCCAAGGUGGCACAGAACCGGAUGUUGAAGUCCACUCUCUUGUUCUGACAUUACAGUGUUGUUGUGGUAACGAGACUACGCACAAUUAUUUGAAAUGUGAAAUGAUAAUAUAGCAAGAAUCUGUUAGGCAAAGAACAAAUAAGUGUGAUAUGGCUGGCCUGUCAGCAUGUCAUUGUGAGGGGAUAAGGAAAAUAUGCAAAAUAAUAAAUAUUCGAGAAGGAAGACUGUAAGGAGUGUUUAGAUUUCUGAUCUCUGUAUCUGAUCCUAUAAAUCAGAGCUGUUGUAUUUUUUUACUGGUUAUCUCAUUAAAUUUUUAUUGGGCCAUCCUUCCUUCAAGAAAAAAAAAAAAAAAAAGGAAAUGCAAGAGGCAAAAAUAAUUUGAGUUGAAAAAGCUCAACAUCUACUAAGAAUCAUAGCGUGCUCUGUAAAUAAUGCUUUCAAGUCAAACGGACCGAGUCCUAGACAGGCUAGCUGGUGGCAUGAAAUGAUAGAAUUUGUCCAGCACUUUGACUCUGCAGGGUUUUUUUCUUCUUCUCAGUACAGGGAAAUAAGAGAUAGUCAGGAACUUAGUUUCUUGGGUUUCUUAUUGCCACUGCUUGGCCCAACGUGUUAUUUCCAUGCAGAGAAAUGGACUUGCCAUGCCUUGCCUGUUGUGAUGAAAAUACAUGUUGCCUCUCACGUGUCCUUACCCGAGGUAUAAACUGGUAGUAUGAGUAAAUAGGGCAACACAGGCCAUUCAUUUCGAUGGCUGUUCUGUAUAAUGUAUAGUAACUGCAGGCAAAUAACAUAUACAGCAAAGGGAAGUGAUGAAAGCCAAUUCUUACUAGAUUGAAUGAGAUACCGCUUGAUGAAUGAUUAAAAAUAAAACUACUAUGUAUUAUCCUUGAAACACUCAGAUAUGGGAAAAGCGUGUUAUCUGCAAAAGUGGGCAGAGCAUCCAGUGAAUCAGUGUUUUGAACUUAUGCAGGGCUUCCAGACAAUGAAGGGAAGGAAAACAGUAUUGCUUUUUAAUGCUCUUGCUGUUAAAAAUAAUGUAACAGAUAAAGGAGGUAGCACUCUGAGGGUGUUUUUUUGUGCUACAUAAAACGAUUAGACAUUUAUCAGAAAUUCUGGCAAUUGGGUUGAGCUGUGAUGCUGUGGACAAUCGUAACACUAAUAGGGUGGGAGCAGUAUAAGCAAUAGCUACAAUUAUAGCUGCAGUUACUAAGAGAAAUCCAUGCUCUGUUAUGUUAGUGCAGCAUUAACCCCAUGCAACGCUAUAGGCUUGGGGUAGAGUGGCUGGAUUGACUGUGAAGAGGAAAGGGACCUGGGGGUGUUGGUUGAUACUUGGCUGAAGAUGAGCCGACACUGUGUCCAGGUGGCCAAGAAGGCCAGUGCCAUCCUGGCCUGUAUUAGAAAUAGUGUCACCAGCAGGAGCAGGGAGGUAAUCAUCCCCCUGUACUCAGCACUGGUGAGGCCGCACCUUGAGUAUUGUGUUCGGUUUUGGGCCCCUCACUACAAGAAAGACAUUGAGGCCCUGGAACUUGUCCAGAGAAGGGCAACAAAGCUGGUGAGGGGUCUGGAGCGCAAGUCUUAAGAGGAGUGGCUGAAGAAGCUGGGUUUGUUCAGUCAGGAGAAGAGGAGGCUCAGGAGAGACCUCAUUGCACUCUACAACUUCCUGAAGGGAGGUUGUGAUGAGGAUGGGUUUGUCCUCUUCUCCCAGGCAACAAACAGGACCCGAGGAAAUGGCCACGAGUUGUACCAGAGAAGUUUUAGAUUAGACAUAAGGAAGGACUUUUUCUCUUGGAGAGUGAUCAGGAGCUGGAAUGGCCUGCCCAGGGAGGUGGUGGAGUCGCCGUCCCUGGCAGUGUUCAAGAGGCACCUGGAUGAGGAGCUAUGAGAUAUGGUUUAGCAGCUUGUGGUUGCAAUGGUAAUGGGAGGACGGUUGGACUACAUGAUCUUGUAGGUCCUUUCCAACCUUGUGAUUCUAUGAUUCUAUGAUUAUCCAUCUACAUGAAAGGCAGCAAUAUCUUAAAGAGGCAGAGGAGGAAGGCUGUCCUCUCUUCCUAUUUUGGUGUCCACCUGUUGUUUUGCUUUGUUGUUGCUGUCUUUUUGAGAAAGUUGGUGUGUGUGUGUGAUUCUUCUGAGAGGUCAAAUCCAGUCUUUCACAAAACAGAUGAUUGUUACGUGUCUAACAGGAGUUUCAGAAAGAGAGCAAGUAUGCACCGAGAUACAUACAUUAAAAAAUACUGCUUGUGUGAAAGCAAAUUGGAAGUGCUGAAUUUAUAUUCUUUGUAUCUUACUAAAAUUUAUGGGUCAUACAUAAAUCAUUCAAAGAGUACCUUUCCCCGCAUUUAUCAUCAGGUUGUUUUGUGUCACAAGCCAUUAUUUGCUUCUUUUCAGUGACAUUUUUUGUUUGUUUGUUUUUGGCAGUUGUCUUUUAUUCAUUAAGGAGUUUAUAACAUACAGACAGAACCCUCUAAAAGUACUGGCAUUUAAGCUCUUUUUAAGGAAUGUGUUUACACUUUGGAUAGAGAUCAACUGAAGCCUGCUUUAGUCAAAUUGGGUAUGAAGUAAUGGAAGGCUUGACUUUUCCUUCACUUCAUGGAUUCUGGCUGUUCAGCAUGUAGGAUGGGCACCUCAGUCAUUGCAGUUUCCAAAUGUAAAAAGGGGGUGCACUCAGGAACACCAGGACAUAAAAAGCUAUUACUAAGACUGUAUUUGCAUCCUGUAUCUUAUAAAUGAAGGAGGCUGAUGUGAAUUGACAUACUCCCAUCAUGUAAUUUUAGGCCAAUAGAGAUAGAAUCUGUCCUCAUGCCCCAUAUUUUUUAAGAAAGUGAUGGAAGUUGUCUCUGUAUGUGUGUUUCUUUCCUCCAAUACUAUGUAGCACAAAGUGUUCCCUACUGAUCCUUCUAUUUUCCUGUAGGGUAAUGAAACAGACUUUAUCAGAGUCUGACCCUCUUUCCCUUCUUAGAAACCUUCUUUGUUACUACUUAGUAUUUUCUAAUAACUUCUUUUCAGCACAAAAAUAGUCUUCCCAUUCCUAUGCUUCCAGUUAGAGCAACAGGAUAGGAUGUCUUUACUUCUCUCCUUUCUUGCCCCUCCCUUUGGAUUCAUAACUCUGGAGUUGUUUGAGCUCUAGCUCAAGUUGUGACUUCAUUAACAUGAUGCAAAGGGCUCAGCAAAAUCAUACAGCUCUUUGAGGAGAAAAGUGUUACAUUUCCAUAGUGCAUAGUGUAGGAGAAGGUUAGUGCAUGUUGUGCUAGGGCUUGCUGCAUUUCUCCAUGUGACUAGCUAGAUGGUUUGCAAAUCCUGCUGUGCGACUGCAUGGUCUAUUUCUCCCUGUACUUCCAGUGGGUAACGUUGCACCAAAUUGGAUAAGCCAUUCCCAUUCAAAAUGUCCUAUUUGUUUUGCUUAAUUUCCAGCGAGGAUAUAAUGUGAUAGUAAAAUUGUUCUAUAAAGGGUCAUACACUGUUUUACUCUCAGUUUGUGAGGCUCAGACAGAAGGAAAUGAUCAAAAACACUCGAUGCUCAUUAUUUAUUAAUUGAGUUCUGGCAGAGCUUUUCUACAUUCUGGCUUUUUGUUCGUUUGUUUCUUUGUUUACAAACAAAAAAAGAAAAGCACAGUUCACAAAAACUGAAAAGGGAAAUUUGUUAACGAAGAUUUCUGACAAUUAAGAAGCAGCAUUUUGUGGGGUUUAAGUGAAAGUGCCUUGCAGCACAGGGAGGACAGUUUGGCACAGCAGUGUCGCUCUCUCUGUGUUGAUCUUGAAAGGGAAGAAUAUUUCAGAGAACAGCAGACCAUGAAUCUUAGAUACAGUCAUGCUGUGUUACCAGAAAAUAUUUGCACCAGUAAGUUCUGCGUUGGAAAUGUUUUUAACUGCUC